CAGCAGCCACGGGAAAACGAAGGGGGCUAGCGUUGCUCGGAAUGACUGGGCGUAAAGGGCGCGUAGGCGGUCACGAUAGUCAGAUGUGAGAUUCCUGGGCUUAACCUGGGGACUGCAUUUGAUACUGUGUGGCUUGAGUGUGGAAGAGGGUCGUGGAAUUCCCAGUGUAGAGGUGAAAUUCGUAGAUAUUGGGAAGAACACCGGUGGCGAAGGCGGCGACCUGGUCCAUAACUGACGCUGAGGCGCGAAAGCGUGGGGAGCAAACAGGAUUAGAGACCCGUGUAGUCCCUGUCUCUUAUAC
rnacentral:rRNA from 1 species